CGGGAAUUUUGGGCAAUGGGCGAAAGCCUGACCCAGCAACGCCGCGUGAGGGAUGAAGUAUUUCGGUAUGUAAACCUCGAAAGAAUGGGAAGAAUAAAUGACGGUACCAUUUAUAAGCUCCGGCUAACUACGUGCCAGCAGCCGCGAUAAUACGUAGGGAGCAAGCGUUGUUCGGAUUUACUGGGCGUAAAGGGCGCGUAGGCGGCGCGGUAAGUCACUUGUGAAAUCUCUGAGCUUAACUCAGAACGGCCAAGUGAUACUGCUGUGCUAGAGUGCGGAAGAGGCAACCGGAAUUCUUGGUGUAGCGGUGAAAUGCGUAGAUAUCAAGAGGAACACCUGAGGCGAAGGCGGGUUGCUGGGCCGACACUGACGCUGAUGCGCGAAAGCCAGGGGAGCAAACG
rnacentral:rRNA from 1 species